AAAGGUAAGCUACUAAGAGCGAAUGGUGGAUGCCUUGACUGGUAAAGGCGAUGAAGGACGUACUAGACUGCGAUAAGCUACGGGGAGCUGUCAAGAAGCUUUGAUCCGUAGAUUUCCGAAUGGGGCAACCCAAUGUAUAGAGAUAUACAUUACCUAUAUAGGAGCGAACGAGGGGAAUUGAAACAUCUUAGUACCCUCAGGAAAAGAAAUCAAUAGAGAUUGCGUCAGUAGCGGCGAGCGAAAGCGCAAGAGGGCAAACCCAGUGCUUGCACUGGGGGUUGUAGGACUGCAAUGUGCAAGAGCUGAGUUUAGCAGAACAUUCUGGAAAGUAUAGCCAUAGAGGGUGAUAGUCCCGUAUGCGAAAAACAAAGCUUAGCUAGCAGUAUCCUGAGUAGGGCGGGACACGAGAAAUCCUGUCUGAAUCCGGGUCGACCACGAUCCAACCCUAAAUACUAAUACCAGAUCGAUAGUGCACAAGUACCGUGAGGGAAAGGUGAAAAGAACUGAGGUGAUCAGAGUGAAAUAGAACCUGAAACCAU
rnacentral:rRNA from 1 species